rnacentral:rRNA from 1 species
AUUGAACGCUGGCGGCAGGCUUAACACAUGCAAGUCGAGCGGUAACAGAGAUAGCUUGCUAUCUGCUGACGAGCGGCGGACGGGUGAGUAACGCGUAGGAAUCUACCUAGUAGUGGGGGACAACAGUUGGAAACGACUGCUAAUACCGCAUACGCCCUACGGGGGAAAGCAGGGGAUCUUCGGACCUUGCGCUAUUAGAUGAGCCUGCGUCGGAUUAGCUAGUUGGUGGGGUAAUGGCCUACCAAGGCGACGAUCCGUAGCUGGUCUGAGAGGAUGAUCAGCCACACUGGGGACUGAGACACGGCCCAGACUCCUACGGGAGGCAGCAGUGGGGAAUAUUGCACAAUGGGCGCAAGCCUGAUGCAGCCAUGCCGCGUGUGUGAAGAAGGCUCUAGGGUUGUAAAGCACUUUCAGAAGGGAGGAAAGGUUGUAAGUUAAUACCUUGCAACUGUGACGUUACCUUCAGAAGAAGCA